GACGAACCGUGCGAACGUUAUUCGGAUUCACUGGGCUUAAAGGGCGCGUAGGCGGACUCGCCAGUCCGGGGUGAAAUCUUUCGGCUUAACCGGAAAAGUGCCUUGGAUACUGCGAGCCUUGAGGAAGGUAGGGGCAUGUGGAACUUCCGGUGGAGCGGUGAAAUGCGUUGAUAUCGGAAGGAACGCCGGUGGCGAAGCGACGUGCUGGCCCUUCUCUGACGCUGAGGCGCGAAAGCCAGGGGAGCAAACGGG
rnacentral:rRNA from 1 species